rnacentral:tRNA from 1 species
GCCGGGCUAGCUCAAUCGGUAGAGCGUGCGGCUCUUAUGAGUUGAGAUUCUUCGAGUAUUUGAAUAUCCAAUCCAAUUGAUCAACCGCAAGGCUGCGGGUUCGACCCCCGCGUUCGGCU